rnacentral:rRNA from 1 species
AUUGAACGCUGGCGGCAUGCUUUACACAUGCAAGUCGAACGGUAACAGGUCUUCGGAUGCUGACGAGUGGCGAACGGGUGAGUAAUACAUCGGAACGUGCCUAGUAGUGGGGGAUAACUACUCGAAAGAGUGGCUAAUACCGCAUGAGAUCUACGGACGAAAGCAGGGGAUCGCAAGACCUUGUGCUACUAGAGCGGCCGAUGGCAGAUUAGGCAGUUGGUGGGAUAAAAGCUUACCAAGCCGACGAUCUGUAGCUGGUCUGAGAGGACGAUCAGCCACACUGGGACUGAGACACGGCCCAGACUCCUACGGGAGGCAGCAGUGGGGAAUUUUGGACAAUGGGCGCAAGCCUGAUCCAGCAAUGCCGCGUGCAGGAUGAAGGCCUUCGGGUUGUAAACUGCUUUUGUACGGAACGAAAAGCCCCGGGUUAAUACCCUGGGGUCAUGACGGUACCGUAAGAAUAAGCACCGGCUAACUACGUGCCAGCCGCCGCCGUAA